CCUAAACGGUGCACUUUUCUCCCUCACUGAUAUCUUGAGGACCCAGCAGCAACCCCAAUAAGAAUGUUUUAUAUCCCUGAAAGAUUCUCCCGAAAACUUAAGGGAAUGAAUAACUCCUCCUUCCACAGGCCUAGUCCAAAGGCACAAAGCCCCUUGCACCAGCAGCGUGCGUCAGCAAGAGAGUGGAAGCAGGAACAGUUGGAGGGAAGACACAUACCCCCUGAAGAUCCAGAGGGAGGCCAUCUGGGUACAGCAGCUGGACAAAAGAAGCUCCUCAGCCUCCAGUCGCCUGUCUGUGCAUGCCCCUCGGUCACUGAUCUCACCUACCAGUGAGAUUAUCUGAACAAAUCACCACCUUCAUCUUGAGAAUGUAUCUUCAAAGGCAUUAGGAUAGACCCUCUGAAGGAAAUAGACUGCUCCUGCAGGACCCAGGAGACACCCUAAAUACUCACUCAAAGUAUGUGGAAGACGAAACAGUCAAAAGAAAAAUUUAAAGUCAUUGAAAUUGAAGAC